rnacentral:rRNA from 1 species
GAUGAACGCUGGCGGCGUGCCUAAUACAUGCAAGUCGAGCGAACGGACGAGAAGCUUGCUUCUCUGAUGUUAGCGGCGGGCGGGUGAGUAACACGUGGAUAACCUACCUAUAAGACUGGGAUAACUUCGGGAAACCGUAUCUAAUACCGGAUAAUAUUUUGAACCGCAUGGUUCAAAAGUGAAAGACGGUCUUGCUGUCACUUAUAGAUGGAUCCGCGCUGCAUUAGCUAGUUGGUAAGGUAACGGCUUACCAAGGCAACGAUGCAUAGCCGACCUGAGAGGGUGAUCGGCCACACUGGAACUGAGACACGGUCCAGACUCCUACGGGAGGCAGCAGUAGGGAAUCUUCCGCAAUGGGCGAAAGCCUGACGGAGCAACGCCGCGUGAGUGAUGAAGGUCUUCGGAUCGUAAAACUCUGUUAUUAGGGAAGAACAUAUGUGUAAGUAACUGUGCACAUCUUGACGGUACCUAAUCAGAAAGCCACGGCUAACUACGUG